UCACAGAGAAUGACGUGCCUUGGGCUGGUCCUAUGAUCCUAUGAUGAUCAUGUUCUAUUAGCUCAUGUGUCCAUGGAUCUGCUCCCUGGAUUUUAAUCUCAAAGUCAGAAAGAAUUGCUCUUUUGUUAUCAUUAGAUAAAUGUUUUUCCAAGUGCCUUUGAUAUACAGAUUUUUAGGAACCCUGUGAGAUCAAUUCUGUGCCUAAGUUUCACUUCUAAACAUUUUUGGAACAAAUACAUACAUGAAGACACAGAAAAGAAUAGCAGCUUUGUAAUGCAUAUAUAAAAAUUCAACUUCCCAUGUUGGUGUCAUGGUUUUGUAUCUUUGCUAUUGAUAUUCCACGUCAUAACUUCAUGGACAAAAGAGAAUAAGAACUACGUAUCCCAGAGGACCUCACGGUCAGAGAAGGAAGAUACAUCACGGAAGAUACGGCAUCUGGUUGCGCGCGGUCUUUUUCAGUUUCGCUUGCUGCCAGGGAGAGGAGUGGGUGUGCUUCCAUGCCGUGCGCCUUCAUCAAGUAGGGCUUUCGGUUUCGGAAACUCUCUCACUCUCUGUCUCUCUCUCCCUCUCUAUCGCUCUUUCGCUCUCUGAUUUAUUUGAUUUUUUAUCCUUACUUCCAAUUAGAUUGUAUUAUAUCUUGUCAUCUUGCAUUCCGACAUCAUAGUUAGUAAAAUAAGUUCUCCUUCUUAGACCAUUGCUGCUGCUCCGUUUUUUUUUUUUUUUUUUUGGGAAGCCAGAGGGGCCCGCGAGCCUACUGCCCCCCCCCCCGUCACAGGCACAGAUCUAUCUAGAUAACUCUGUGGCAGUUGGUAUCUGUUCCUAUAAGAGCUAUGGACAGCUUAGAAGAAACAGAUCAGUUGGUUUAUAUUCAUUGUGUAGCACAAAGUGAGUCUAGGAUGAAUAAUGUAAAAGUAUUUAUAAUGUCUUCCAUUGCAAUAACUUCCGAAGUCACCUGUAACACAAACACUUUUUUCCUGAAUGAUAUGAAUAUUAAACUGAUAUCAGUCUCAGCCUUUAAGUUAGCUUUCAGAAGUCAUGAUUUGUGUGGCUCAAACUGAAAUCAUUCACCAAACGCAGCUGUGGUAUAAAUUUAUAAAGAUAGUUCUCAAUUGAAUUCAGAUGUGUUUUAUAUUAUCUUAAAGAUUUAAUGCAAACACUUUCAUGAAUAUCUCAUAUUUGGAAAGAAUCCAACUUAGGAACAAAUGUAUUGACUUUAGAUCACUGUUCAAUUGCAAAAUAAAUCACUUCAUGUUUACAUGUUUUGCAUCUUGCAUUUAAUACUCAGCAUAUGUGUGAGUACUCAAAGGAGAGCAGUAACACAUAACAGUAAUAGGAACUAUUUUUAACCAGAAAAUUGAAUACAAAAACAUGGAAUGACAUUUAUCUUUACAAUAUCUGCUGAAUGGAGAUUCUAUAUAUACUGCUUCAGAAAGCAAUACAAAACAUUCAUUUUUCCAGUCAAAUUGGAAUCUGCCCUCAUGUGUUGCAUUAUUGCUGACAAACAGGACACAGUGUAAUAAAACUGCAACUAC
ensembl:lncRNA